AAUAUUCAACAAUAAAAUAAACGGAUUACAAUCAUUUGGAUUAAAAACUAAAUCUGUACAAGAUAAUGAGACAGAUUCCUGCACCCCGUCAUCUUCUCUUACACGAGCGAGGCCCGCCUUUCCUGCGGUGUCUCCUCCAACAGCUGGAGCAGCAGCUCGUGCAGGGGCGUGGCCAUGGCACCGUACCCACUGGCCGUCAGGUGCAGGAAGUCAAACAUAUCUCGGCUGGAAAUGGUGCCGUCAGAGUGCACAAAGCCGCCACCCACGUCCAGGAACUGUAUGGGUCCGAGACGAGGAAGGGCACAGCGCAGGACGACGAUCUUGGCCUUGGGAAGGCGUGAGAUGAGCAGCUGUACUAUGGUCACGAUGCCCCCUGCGACCUGCUCUGCUGUGUGCUCGUGAUUAUUGGUUCCUACCCACAGCACCACCACCUGUUCUCCGUUCUGCAGCCUCCACAGAACGUUGCACGUCGUGUCUCCUCCAAUCCCAAAGUUGAGCGCAUGGAGUGGAGAAAACAACUCUCGCCAAACCUGCACACAACAACCAAUCACAUCGCAGAACCCAGACUUCAAUGUUAGACCCAAUGCUAAAACAACUUCAUUCCUGUUAUCACUUAUGUUAUGUUUUAUGUUAUUAUUUACGCAUAAAUAAUACAUUUUCUGACCAAUCAGCUUUCAGAAUGUUUUUUUUUCCCCCCUACUGAUCCUGUGAGGAGGCCACAUGAAAUUACAAAUCGGGAACAGCAACAGCAGCUUAUUUACAACCCAGAAGACAAUGUGGCAUUGUGCAGCGUGGCGCUGAACUGCAAAUGACACUUUAGUCUCUGUUUCCUGCUUAAAUAACCAGAUUAAUGACAAGCAAUGUGGAAAAUACAGUACUGUAAAUACGGGUUAAAGGUUAAAAAGAGUUUUCAAAAAAGCUUAAAUGUUAAUGUAUUUAGUUCACAACACACACACACACACACCUCAUACUGCUGCAUCAGCUGAACCAUGGAGUCCCCUACAAACAGCACGUCAGGUUCUGCAUCUUUACAUUCCUGCACGAAGCGGUUGUGCUGCAACACACACACACACACACAAGAUCAACACUAUGCCAAAUACACAAACUCUUUACAUAUAAACAUAUAUGUAUUUUUAUUCAUAAAACACAUACCUGUGAUAUCCAGCGUCCAUCACCCUGGACAUCCAGAACCUGCACAGGUUCAGCAGCAGGGUUCUCCUCGUCACUCAUUCUCUAAACAUGAACAAGGACUUGUAACAUCAGGACAAAACUCACAACACGUGAACUUUCCCAGCAUCCACGAUUCAUUGAGACUAAUAUUGUACUUUUUUGACUUUUGCUACAGAUGCAGAAGAGCUUCAGUCCUUCAGCGUUUGCCUUCACGUCAUCACUACUUCUGAGCUGGAUUUCUUCAGUAAAGACAUACUGUAUGUUCUAGCUAACAGUGAAAGCUGUCCACAAGAUUAGUGAAGUAAACUCCAUUUUCACUACUCCAGCUGUAACAAGAGUCUCGGCAGUGACAGCGAAGGGACACACUGCUGUCAACUUGUCACAGGAAUAACACAAACACAACACCAAUCGAUAAAUUAGAAAAAUAAAUAUAUUUCAAAUUCUAUUCAUAUCCAGAAUAUCACCUGCAACAGGACACGAUGGAGCCCGAAAAAAGGUGCAGAAAUCCCCAUAAUACACUGGUGUUAGUAGGAAAUAAGGAGGAAGCUUAAUACAGUCACCAUUUCAGACACAGUGCAUGAAAGCAAGCAAGAUGCAGGCUUUACAUUCAUAAUGCUCUAAUUCUGGCUAGUAAUACAGUGGAUUUCUUCUGGUUCAUGAAAUGCUCUCUUACCGCUCUUGUUUAUUGUCUAAUCGGGUUAUUUGGAUGAGAUUAGGCCGUAAAUUACAGCGGCAUCCUGCGUUAGAGGCCUGUCUUGAAAUGAGUAAAUGACCAAACAGGCUGCAACAAUAACGUUUGCAUUAUGUAGCAUUAAUAUUAACGCGCGCACACGCACACGCACACACACACACACACACACACAGUCUCACCUGCUAAUCAGAUGAAUUCUCUAAAGCAGGAAGCAGACAGAUGUCUGAUGCCGGAGGAUGCUGCGGUUUGGUGCUGAUGCUGCGCUCAGUCUCUCACGCGCCCGUUUUUUGGUUUUGUUUUUGUUUUGUUUUUGUUCUUGUUCUUUUAAAAAAAAAUGGCGACGCGAUGUUUAUGCGCCACAAAAUCCUUUCUGUAGCUCGGAUAUGUUUGGAAAAUCACGGACGGAAGGUUUUGAUCAACGAAACCGGUUAUGUCCUCCCCUUUUCGGGGUUGCCAGGUGUGCGCACACUUUCACCCUAACCCAGACAAUUGAUCCACACAAAGAAAUCCUGAGUUCUUUUUUUAUUUUAUUUAUUUUUUUUUAUAGCUAUUAUACCCGGUCUGUA